GAGCAUCCGACACACUUGACCGCCGCCUCAGACCCACGUGACCACAUAGCUAGCUCCGUGGAAAGGCCUCAGUACAGCCUCGGUCUCUCCUGGAAACUGUGUCGGGAUUUUGAGUCUCUGUGCUUGUGAAUUCUGUUUUGGAUAAUAUUGGUGCAAUUGUUGGACAAAAUGACUUGCUGUGGUAUUAAUUUCACUAAUAGAGCGUCCAAGGAGUCUCCACUUCAUUUUUUUCGGGAAGGACCUGAUUGGUGUCCAGAACCUGAUGAAGAAGCACCAGGCUCUGCAGGCUGAGAUCACAGGUCAUGAACCUCGCAUCAAGGCUGUCACCCAGAAAGGAGAGACCAUGGUGGAAGAAGGUCACUUCGCUGGUGAGGAAGUGAAGACUAAACUGUGGGAGCUUCAUGGACGUUGGGACACGCUGAAGGCCAAGGCGUCCCAGAGGAGGCAGGACCUGGAGGACUCUCUGCAGGCCCAGCAGUACUUUGCGGAUGCUAAUGAGGCCGAGUCCUGGAUGAGGGAGAAGGAGCCCAUCGUUGGAAGUCCAGACUAAGGGAAAGACGAGGACUUGGCCGAGGCUCUCCUGAAGAAGCACGAGGCCCUGAUGUCGGACCUGUCGGCUUACGGCAGCAGCAUCCAGGCCCUGAAGGAGCAGGCCCAGUCCUGCAGGCAACAAGGUGAUCAGCAGGUGCUUUUGUCCUGCAGGACCUGAAGGCCAACGAGUCCCACCUGAGGGACAUCAACAAGGUGGCAUCUGAACUGGAGUCAGAAGGUCUGAUGGCUGAGGAGGCUCCUAUGGUUCAGGCUCAGGUGAGCGUCACCUGUCUGCAGCAGCUGGUCCCUCUCACUUCCUGGUUUAACUCUGCUCGUCUCUGUUUGUAGCAACAAGAACAUCUGGGUUCUGCUCCUGGAAAGGUGCAUGUUGUCCUCCGCCUCAACCAGAACCAGACGUGGUGUUUAUGUUACCACUCAUUUGUUUGUUUGUUUACAGGAUGAAGCCGACUCUAACACGGCGUCACCCUGGAAGGUGAGUUCAUUCAGCUGAUCAGAGGUCACCUCUGAUGGCAGCAGUCACGGCCGACCGUGCUGACAUCACACAGGAAUUCAGGUGACCCGGCAGGCACCAGGUGCUGGUGAAAGUGGGGACAUGUCAGCUGGUUGCCAUGGCUACAGUUAUCUUUAUGCAUCUGUAUGACUGCUGACUGGUGUGUGUUUCCUGUGACCUUUGACCUCAGACCGUACGGUUGGGCGUUCAGACGACGACUAACUUUAAUUCCAUCAAGGUAAGAGGAAGCUCUUCCCUUCCUGUCUGAGCGAUCCGUCUCCAGGUUUCCUUGUCCGGCGUCCAGCCCGCUGGCAUCCACCUUCAUCUCACCUUCAUCUCAUCUCACUUCAUUUAUAGUGCAAUACUUUCACAUUAUCAUUUUCCCACACUUCUGUAUACCUGUAUUUUGUUGUUUUUCAAUAAAGAAUGACAAAUUA